AGAAAUAUGAAAUAGUUUCCUUGUUUAUAUGUAUUUUAUGCUUUUAUAAGGUUUAUAACAUGAUUAUUGCUGACUGGAGGGAUAUUGAAUACUUAAACGACAUAAUAUGCUGACUGUGACAGACUAAGGUAUUUCUUCUAUAGGAUGUAAGACAAUGCUAAAAUUUCAGGAUGUCUUGCCCAUUCCGAUUUCAGGAUAUUAUUUUCCAGACGUAUGCAAAAAAGCUUAUCUUCCCAUUGUCAGAAUAACAUGUAAUAUAUAAGGAAGUAAUAAAUCGUAUAAUCUGUAUUGUAUUGCAUAUCUCAUGACUAAGGUAAACAAAACUGUAUAAAUGCUAGCUUCACAGUAAUACAGAUUGAGAACUUGUUAAGCACCUUCGUGUCUGUCUGUUAUUUGCUAAGCAAGUCUCUCCCGUCAAUUGAUGUGGUGAACAGAGGAUCGAGAACCGAGGGUUGAGUCCAGGACAGCAUUAACCCUUUCAGCUUGGUGUCUAGAAGUGGGAUAGAAGUUGGAUCAGCAAAAUCAUUGGGUAAGUAGCCUUUUUGUGUCUUAUUUGACGCUGAUUGUCUAUGACCCCUUUGGUUUAGUAAGACUGUAUCCAGUACAUAGGAAAGGUGUAAGGACUCUAGUUAUAUUGAGACUGUAAAUAGGUCUCCGGUUUAUUAGACAUUUGGUCUAAGUAUAUAUAGGGUUUUGGUAACCCAGGUUAGUAUCUAAGAUAGAUACAGGGUAUCUCAGGUAGAUACAGGUUUUGAGACUAUAAAGGAGUCUCCGGUUUAUUAAGAUUAUAAGUGUUCUAGGGAACACGGUUUAUAGAUCUAGAAUAACCCAAACUUCUCGUUUCUCUGGUCACCUUGUCUGUUUUGUGUUUAUUUUGCUUGUUAAGUAGAGACACACUAUUGGUAAGUAGGUAGUGUCUCUACCCUGAGCCAGAAAUAUGGGAAAUAAACUGUCUAUUUCUUACCCUUUACCUCACCCAGGGGAGUCAUGUCUAAAUUAUGUUACUAGAGUUGGAGCACAAGGAGGAUUUCUUACUAUCCCCUUUGUGUCAAAUGUAACAGGAUGGACAGAGACUAUGAAGUCAUCUGAUCCUUUUCCCAGGUGUGGGGCUAAUGAUGAUUUCCAUAUGAAUAUGAUUCGAGGAUUGUGUUUGGGAGAUAGGAAGUCAUGGCCGUGGUAUGGUCCUGAUCCAGAUUGGGAUAAGGAAUAUAUGAAAGCAGGAGGUGAAAAUUGGUUGCAGAUAGCCCCUCACUGGUUUCCUUGUAGUAUAACAGGAAAGGUUUUAAAGGGAGCUAAGAAACACCUGGCUAAGAGAAAGGGAACUGUUGAUAGUAAUACCAUUCACUUUCCCAUAGGAGCCCCUCCUGAGAAUCUAUAUUCAUCACCAAUUGUGCCCCCUACCCAGUCAGCCCCCGGCCAUGCCCAACCACAACCCCCACCUCCCUAUAAAGCAAUGUAUCCUGCUUUACCUAAUGCCCCCUCAGAAGAUGAUAUAGAGGAUGUUUGUAUUGCUGCAACUGUUAAUUCAAAAUCACAGCAAUUACAGCAAUUACAGGAAUCAUCAUCUAUACCAGAUUCUGAUAUAGAAUAUCCACCGUCACCUCCCGGUCCAAUUAAACUAACAGUACAGACGGGAAUUAAACUUAAAAGUGGCAAGAUGUUAAAAACAUAUGUACAUAAACAAGAUGAUGAUGAUGUAGAGAUGCCAGAAUUAGAAGGUGCUGAUCUUACUGCCCCAUUCAUGACUGUUGGUAAUCAGUUAAUAGUGAAACCUAUUAAUCCUGGAGUACUCAAGGACAUUAUUCAAGGUGCCCCAAACCCCCGUACUAAUCCCUCUGCAUGCCUAAUGUAUUUGAAAAGAAUGUGCUUAGGACAGAACAUGACACAGAUAGAUAUACAGUUAAUUAUAAAUGGAAUAUUAGGGUAUGAUUCAGAUUCUGGUUGGGAUUGGUCUAAGGUACCCUCUAUUAGUGAGACAGACAAUGGUACUGAAGUUGGAGAGGCUGGUAGUGAUGGUGUUUAUGAGCUUAGUACUUCAGCAGGAUGUGCUAAAAUGUGGAAUGAGGUGGAAGUUGAAAUGUUGAGAUUAUGGAAGAAUAAGCAGUCUAUAUCCACUGCUUUGGCAUGUAAGCAAGGUGCAAAGGAAGAGAUUGGUAUUUUUGUAAAAAGAUUUUACAAAUGUUGGAAGGAUGAGGCAGGUUUGAAGUCUGGAGAGGAUAUGGAUCUCCUUAAAAUACAGUCAUGCCUUGGUAAUAUGUUGCCACAGUAUUCUUUGCUUGUGAAACAAUUGAUUUCAGACUGGGCCAAUUUGGAUGGCUCAGAUUUUCUUACCAAGGUUAUAGAAAAGGAAAAUGCAGGUUGUUUUGACUUAAGGAAAGAUUCAGGAAGUAAGGUUGCUUAUUAUGCUCAGGGAUUGCAACAUUGUCCACCUACACAGGCCCGAGAGAGAGGAUGGGAUGGAGCACAUAGAGCCCGUGGAAGGGGUGGUCAAAGAGGUGCAAGGGGAUGGAGACAGGGAAAUCAGGGUUAUAGGGGCAGGGGUAACCAAGGAGGAAUAGACAGGAACACUUGUUUCAACUGUGGGCAGAAUGGCCACUGGAGAAAUGAGUGUCCACACCCCAGGAAACCCCAGCAGCCCCAACAACCCUACAAUUCUCAAAAUAUGCCCGGUAGGCAAGAACAACACCAGGCCCACUCCCAACACCACUGGCCAGCACUCCCCCCUGCCCCCUCUCUCCAGCAAGCCCAAACUGCACUAGGGCCAUUCACAGGUACCACUGACCAGCACACCCAUCACAUCCCAUGGCCCCAAUAGGGAUGCCUUGAAGGUGACACUCUAACUUUUCCACUUUUGUCCUCUACUAAUGAUGAUCAGCCUUUUUGCAUUCUGGUCAUAGAAGGUAGAUCCUUGCCAUUUUUGGUAGAUACUGGAGCUACGUGUUCCAGUCUCUGUGAUACCUAUUAUCAGGGGACAAGGAAAAAGUCUACACCUUCAUUGGGUAUUAAUGGAGUGUCAACACCCACUUUUGUCACACCACCACUGUCUGUUUUCUGUCCUCUUAAUGGUUCUUCUACUAUGCACCCUUUUCGUAUAAUACCUAAAUGUCCUGUUAAUUUGCUGGGAAGGGAUCUUCUUGGUAUUCUGGGAGCUACCAUUACUUGCACGCCCUCUGGUGGUAUUGAUGUGUCUAUGUUGUGUUCUGAAACUAUUGAUUUGUCUGCUGUUCCUUCCUCUGUGUGGGCUUCAUCUAAGUUAGAUGUAGGAUUUGUCAACUGCACCCCUUACAAAGCCAAACUAAAAUCAGAUGUAACUCCUAUCUACCUUAAACAGUACCCUUUGACAGAAGCCAAGGUUGAGGGAGUUCGCCCCAUGAUCCAAUCUUUUCUAGAACAGGGAAUACUAAAGCCAGUAGUUUCUCCAUAUAACACACCUAUUAAUCCAGUUCCUAAAGGUAAUGGUUAUCGCUUAGUUCAGGACUUUAGAGCCCUGAAUAAUUUAAUUGUGCCCAUUGCACCCAUUGUCCCUGAUGUGACAUCCCUCAUUACAGCCAUUCCACAUGAUGCCACUUGCUUCACUGUCAUUGAUUUAAGUAAUGCAUUUUUUUCUAUACCUAUUGAUCAAGAGACACAGCUACUUAUGGCUUUUACUUUUGAAGGCUGUCAGUAUACCUGGACACGUUUACCCCAAGGCUAUGUGGACUCCCCAGCUGUUUAUUCGCUGGUACUCCAACAUACUCUAAAAACAUGGACCCCCGGUCAUGGUUCCGUCCUUUUGCAAUAUGUUGAUGAUUUGUUGUUAUGUAGCCCUAGCUAUGAGGCAAGCACUGUGGAUACUGUCAGUUUGCUCAGACACUUAGCAACUGUGGGUCACAAGGUUGCAAAACACAAAAUGCAAUUGUGUAAAUCAAAGGUUGAUUACUUAGGUUUUGUUCUGGCUUCAGGCACCAGACAAUUGAGUCCAAAACGUAUUGAGGUCAUUCAGAGGAUUCCUAAACCCACUACUCGGAAGGAGUUGCUCACCUUCCUCGGCAUGAUUAAUUACUGCCGCCAAUGGAUCCCUGAAUGCUCUCAUUAUGACUCAAUCCUAAGGGAGGCUGUACGUUCUGACAGCCCUGAAAAUGUCUGCUGGUCACCAGACAUGUUAGCUGCGUAUAUAACCCUCAAAGUUGCUAUUGUGCAAGCCCCGGCUUUAGGACUACCUGUGUAUUGUAAACCAUUUCAUUUGUAUGCUCGGGACAACUGUAAAACCAUGGCCGCGGUCUGUGCACAAGAGCACGGAGGCGGUAUGCGUCCCAUAGCAUUCUUUUCCAAAAUAUUUCCAGCUCCGGUACAGGGUAUGCCGGCGUGUCUCAGAGCAUUGGCAGCAUGUGCAAUGGCUGUUGAGACUGCUACUACUAUCACACUAGGGCAUCCUACAGUACUCCAUACCAGUCACCAGGUCACUCAGCUGAUAAAAAAUAUCACCACACAACACAUGACAGCCCAGCGUUUAAGUGGUUAUGAGAUUAUUCUUCUUAACACCCAGAAUCUGUCUAUUGUGUAUAGUCCUGUUAAUUCUGGUCCUAUGUCUGUUUUGCAUGCUAUUCUUACUUCUGCAUCUGACUCUGUGUCUAUACCAUCUGAGCCUCAUAAUUGCAUUGAACAAAUACAUAUUGCCACAUCUCCCAGAGCAGACCUCUCCUCCACAGCACUCAGUGUCCCGGAUGUGACCACUGUCUUUGUGGAUGGCUCUUGCUCCAGACCAAAUGACGGUACGUACCUCACAGGCUAUGCUGUGGUACAGCUACCUGAUAAAAUCAUUGAAGCUGACACUAUUUUCCAGCCGUCUGCACAAGCUGCAGAACUCAUUGCUCUCACACGUGCCUGUCAGCUUUUCUCAGGACAGCGAGUGAACAUUUACACAGACUCACGAUAUGCUCAUGGGGUAGUGCAUGAUUUUGGUGUGAUCUGGAAACAAAGAGGUUUUGUAGGAGCCGAUGGAAAAGCCAUUUCACACACAAAUCUCAUCCAAUCACUCCUAGAUGCUAUCCUACUACCAUCUGAAGUAGCUAUUAUCCACUGCAAGGCACACACUCUUGGUAGUGAUGACAUUUCAAGAGGAAAUGCCUUGGCUGACAAAGUAGCAAAAGAAGCUGCAGCCAAGAUUGUUUACUUUAAAAUGUUUCCUGCUAUGCUUAAACCACCCACAUGCCCUACUGACAGUUUGCUUUUGCAGCUUCAAGCCUUUGCAACGCAAUCUGACUUGGAUUUUUGGAUUAAACAAGGUUUAGAAAAAGAUCAGAAUGAUCUUUUCUCUAAAGAGGGGAAGAUUGGCAUACCUGAAGCAAGUUGUUUUAUUUUCAUCAGUCAGGCACAUGGUCCUGGCCAUAAAAGCAUAGCAAGUACCAUCCAAUUCCUCAUGAAUUCAUUUUAUAUUAGGAAUCUCAGGCAGCAUGUACAGUCUUUUGUAAGAUCAUGUGAACCAUGUAUGAGAACACAUCCAAAUAUUCCACACAAAUCACAGCAUGAACAGCUGCUCCUUUUACACACUUACAGAUUGAUUUUACUCAUGUACCCAAAAUUGGUAAGAAACAGCAAUACUUACUGGUCAUAGUUGAUCAGUUUAGUAGAUGGCCCGAAGCCUUUGUGACAUCCAGGGAAGAUGCUAGGACUGUAGUGAAGAUUCUUGCUACUGAAAUUAUUCCCAGGUAUGGCUGCCCUCUGCAGAUUAACUCUGAUAAUGGCCCGGCUUUUGCUAGUAAGGUUACCCAGGAACUUGCUAAAUUCUUGCAAGUUACCUGGAAGUUUCAUAUACCCUAUCAUCCACAGAGUUCAGGGGUAGUUGAAAGGAUGAAUAGGACCAUUAAGGAGAAGCUUAUGAAAGCUACUGCAGGAACAUGGGUAAAUUGGACAAAAUAUCUUCCAGCUAUUUUAGCUGAGAUAAGAAUGACUCCCCACAAGGUGACUAAAUUAUCUCCAUUUGAGAUUCUGAUGGGACGACCUUUUCCCACACCCUGGGCCAGGGAACCGCUUGUUAUAAUGUCUGGGGAUUUACAGCUAAUACAAGAACAAUAUGUACAGGAAUUGUUGAUAAAACUGAAUGGUAUAUAUGGCAAUGUUUCUUCGCAGUUUCCCUUACCUUCACAGGAACCUACUCAUCCAUACCAGCCCGGUGACAAGGUGUAUAUCCGUCAGCUGAACAGGACCAAGAAAGGAGGAUACCCUUUUGGACCACCUGCUACUGUGAUUGCUGUAACCAGAACCGCUGUCCUCACAGAUUCCCACGACAUCUGGAUUCACGCAUCCCGAGUGAAGCUGUGUCCAAAGAGGGGAGCCAAGGAAGACAACACCACUCCUCGCUCGGAAACAGAAGAAGUCCCCCUUAGCGAAGCAUCAUGGUUUUCACACCAUAUCGUAGAUUGAGAGGAUCAUACGAAUCUGAGACCAAGAUUAUGUUGUGUGCUAUGUUUUCUGGAGUAGUUAUACUCCCUUUGAUAUUGUUCCUUGAAUGCCAUUAUGAAUACGAGGCAAUGGCAAGUUUGAAACCUGUUUGUUUCUGGAAAGAAGACUCUGACAUGAUGAACAAUUCUUCAAUACCCCCAGCCCAAUUAGGCCUUAACCCCUCAUCUAGCAUUCGUCACACACGCUCCCUCAAGAACUUUUCUCCACCACCCUUUUAUCAGCAUGUAAUAUGCAAUCAUUCAUUCACUGAACGCAUUUGGAUGAAUUGGACAAAUAAUAACCCUUAUAAGUAUCAAUUACUCAUAUGGAAUGUGUCCACAGCUAAUGAAACCGAUGCAUUAUGUUUGUUUGAAGGUUCACGGAAAAUUGUUAGAUCUUAUAACACAGAAAUGUGCACAGUUAAGGUUGCUAAUUACACUGGUAUCUGUGCCACCUUAUUUAAUAUAAGUUCUGAUGGUAAGAGAAAACCACCUAAACAGGUUUGGGAUAUAUAUUAUAAGAAAAUUAGUAAGGUUGCAUAUCAAUGUAAACAAACAGGCCUUAUUACUUUUAAUAAUGAUUAUACAACUGGUACCAUUAAUUGAAAAAAGGGACAAAUGUUAGUCAUUAUGAAUGACACUGCAAUUGAGAACUAUACACUACCUUAUAUUUUUACACCUUAUUACUGUCCUUUAUCCUCUAACAUAGAACCAAAAGUCAACAACGACACACACACACCUAUUCCAUCCACAUGUGUUAAUACAACUGUCUUCUUACAAGCUGUACAUGUGUCAUUAAAAAUCACUACUCCUGUUGUAACAUUAUGUAACACAGCAAACAAAAGGCAGAAAAGGGAAUGGUAUGACACACUGUUAGGAGGUGCUGGAACCACUAUGGGUAUACUAAAUAGUAUAGACAUGGAGACCCUCAAGAAUAAGUUAAACACAGCCAGUAUGCAUAUAGGGACUGGUUUUCAUGCUACUGCAAACUGGGCUCCAACUGUUGUUAAAUCACAGGUUACAGGAUUGGAUUUAGAUAAAUCAAUGUAUAAUUAUUUAGAUAAUUUAACUGUUGCAACUAUGAAAUUCACAACAGGUCUAAGUAAUUGGAGUACUUGUGCCAUCAGGUAUUUAUGGAUGCAACACCAAAGAUCGGCAUUAGAAGACAUACUAAUGAUUCCUAAAUUAGAGAAGAUUAGAGGAAUGCUUAACCUCACAGAUAAUGAAUGGUUACUUCUGAAACCCCAAUCCACUAAAUGCAAUGAAUGGUUAACUGGUACUGUAUCACAUUUUUCAUGCUCAUGUUAUUUUACAUUAUAUCAUACAACAUCAAAGGAUGUUAAAUUAGCUUGUCAAUUUAACACAUUACCAGUACCAGUUUAUGAUCUCUUUGCCAAGAAUUUAACCUGGUGGGCACCCACAUACACAGGGGACUAUAUUUUUCCCAAAGAUAAUAUGACCUAUUCCCUUAAACACUGUGUUCUCACUGACAAAGGAUAUGCAUGUCGACACUCGUCCUCUAUUUACGAACCAUGUUUACUCCAAAAUGAACUUAACAAAUGUAUAUGGCACAUAUAUCCUGAAAAUUAUUUUACCAUGACAGAAAUAAGCACACGACAUAUCUGUUUAGCAACUAAUCUCCCUACAAAGAUAAUUACUAGCACUACAAGUAUUAAUCUACCUCUCCCUUUUUCAGGAUGUUUGACUAAUAUUACCUGGUUAGAUCUUAAUGGCACCCAAUAUUAUUUCAGCGACACAAUUACUUUAGACAAACAUGUUAAUGCCCUAUUAGGCUCGCUGCCUUUUGAAGAUUACCAUUUACCUCUUGAGACUAUUGUCUCCUUAAUGAAAGGAAAACAAAAUAUGUUUAAACAUCUUGUUACACAUAAUGAUGCUCUAGUACACACACAGGUAGCCACACAUAUCCUAAAAGGAGAACUCCUUAAGGUGAGUUCACAGAUUCAGAAUGAUUUAGUCCAUCAUUGGUACGAUGCUUUUACUGGUUGGUCUCCUACGGGAUCCCAGAUAAUGAAAUCAUUCUUCUAUCCUCUUGUUAUUAUAGUCCUGAUUUUAUUGUGUAUGAUUUUGUAUAACUGCCAUCUUACUUGUACACUGAGAAAGAGAAUACAGAAAUUAAUCUAUAAUGCAGAACAGAAACAAUUGGAAACUCUCCUCUCUGCCACUGGAGGCUAUCAACCCAUCUUUAAAACUGGGCCUUAGGAAUUACCACAUGGGAAUCGAGGUGAAGAAAUUAAUGAAAGUCCCGCAGGGAGUGACUAGCACCCCUGAAAAUACCAUGUGGAAGUUUCUCUGUCCUGGUAAAAUUUUAUUGAUAAGAUGAGCAAAUUAAUUGCUCAAAGAGGGGGAUGUAAGAAAUAUGAAAUAGUUUCCUUGUUUAUAUGUAUUUUAUGCUUUUAUAAGGUUUAUAACAUGAUUAUUGCUGACUGGAGGGAUAUUGAAUACUUAAACGACAUAAUAUGCUGACUGUGACAGACUAAGGUAUUUCUUCUAUAGGAUGUAAGACAAUGCUAAAAUUUCAGGAUGUCUUGCCCAUUCCGAUUUCAGGAUAUUAUUUUCCAGACGUAUGCAAAAAAGCUUAUCUUCCCAUUGUCAGAAUAACAUGUAAUAUAUAAGGAAGUAAUAAAUCGUAUAAUCUGUAUUGUAUUGCAUAUCUCAUGACUAAGGUAAACAAAACUGUAUAAAUGCUAGCUUCACAGUAAUACAG
rnacentral:lncRNA from 1 species